rnacentral:lncRNA from 1 species
GGGCGACCGAUUCACCGAUCGAGCAUCUGCGUAUCGGCAUGGCUUGGUGUCUGCGUACCAGGAGCAAGGCCUCAUGGUUCUACCAACAGCGCUCUAAGUGAAGACAUCUCUCUGAAGCUCCUUCAAUCUCCUCGUGUACUUGCCAGUUUCGCC